rnacentral:lncRNA from 1 species
UCUGUAAUUCAUUGCUCAUAGAGGCAAGUAUGAUACAUUUGACAGUCACACUGUCAUUUUUCCACAUCUUAUGUAUGGCAACCUCCUCUUCUGUAGCAUCAUCCCCUAGAUCUCCAAGAUCAGGGGUUUCAAGUAUAUAGGAAAUUUUCUCCUGAGUGAGUACUAUCUUUAAAUUCCUCAACCAGUCCACAUAGUUUGGUCCGGUCAACUUGUUGGCAUCUAAGAUGCCUCUUAGUGAAAGUGAAGAAGCCAUUUAAUAAUUCUACAU